GUGGUCGUAGCUCAGUUGGCUAGAGCAUCGGAUUGUGGCUCCGAAGGCCGUGGGUUCGAGUCCCAUUGACCACC
rnacentral:tRNA from 1 species